UACGGGGGGGGCAAGCGUUGUUCGGAAUUACUGGGCGUAAAGGGUCUGUAGGUGGCUUGCUAAGUCAGACGUGAAAUCCCUCAGCUUAACUGGGGAACUGCGUGUGAAACUGGCGAGCUUGAGGGUAGGAGAGGAAUGCGGAAUUCCAGGUGUAGCGGUGAAAUGCGCAGAUAUCAGGAGGAACACCGGUGGCGAAGGCGGAUCUCUGGGCCUUACCUGACGCUGAGGCGCGAAAGCUAGGGGAGCGAACAGG
rnacentral:rRNA from 1 species